UGGUAAUCUCUGGCAUUAGUUGUUAUA
rnacentral:piRNA from 1 species